CACUACAUAUUACACUAUUGGUAUUUAUAAAUUACAUUACCAAACACAAAAUUACAAGAAAUGAGUUACAAAAUCAACAACACAGUCUUCCUAUCAGUGAUUUAAUCUCACACCAAAUAAUAGUCCAUUGUCAAUUCCUGCAGCC